GGAUAGUUGGCUGAGUCUGGUCUAAGGCGCUCGACUUGAAAUCGAGAGGACGUGAGAGCGUUCCGUGGGUUCGAAUCCUACACUAUCCGCCA
rnacentral:tRNA from 7 species